UGAGCCAAGUUUAGGGUUUUCUCAAAACCCAAGCAGUAUUGAACUGAAGAGUUUGAUCAUGGCUCAGAUUGAACGCUGGCGGCAGGCCUAACACAUGCAAGUCGAGCGGAUGAAGGGGGCUUG
rnacentral:rRNA from 1 species